rnacentral:rRNA from 1 species
GAUGAACGCUGGCGGCGUGCCUAAUACAUGCAAGUCGAGCGAACAGACGAGGAGCUUGCUCCUCUGACGUUAGCGGCGGACGGGUGAGUAACACGUGGAUAACCUACCUAUAAGACUGGGAUAACUUCGGGAAACCGGAGCUAAUACCGGAUAAUAUAUUGAACCGCAUGGUUCAAUAGUGAAAGACGGUUUUGCUGUCACUUAUAGAUGGAUCCGCGCCGCAUUAGCUAGUUGGUAAGGUAACGGCUUACCAAGGCAACGAUGCGUAGCCGACCUGAGAGGGUGAUCGGCCGCACGGGAACUGAGACACGGUCCAGACUCCUACGGGAGGCAGCAGUAGGGAAUCUUCCGCAAUGGGCGAGAGCCUGACGGAGCAACGCCGCGUGAGUGAUGAAGGUCUUCGGAUCGUAAAACUCUGUUAUUAGGGAAGAACAAAUGUGUAAGUAACUAUGCACGUCUUGACGGUACCUAAUCAGAAAGCCACGGCUAACUACGUG